ACGGGAUGCUUUAUUAGGACAUUUAUUUUGAAAGAAACCGGAUAUACACCUUUUCUUGUGUUAAGCUUGACGACAGCUAAGGUUAGUUGACAUGCUAACCCUAACCAGUAUAACGCUAAUCACGAAUGUGUCGGGACUCUUUGUAGGGGAGCACUGUUCAUCAAAAUUACGAAGUUUUAGUGCUCCUCUUAAUUUCUGCAUAGGACCUCUGGACAGUAGCAACAUGCUUGCUAUGUGCAAGACGAGCAAGUUAACAAGCUAGCAGUGGUAACGGUAUUUUUGGGUUCACUGAUGUUUUAAUAGUCUGCAGCUGGCUUCUGGCUUCUGGCUUCUGGCUAACGUUAGUUGGAAUUGCACACUGAACAAGCUAACGAUGACCAGUGGCUCAACGCCUGAAUUUGUGCAUGACGUUAGACUUUCUGGAGUCGGGAUUUAAAGAAUAAGUGAAGAGGCAUGGAAAGUAAGUUACCAGGGAUGUAAUUUCGAGCACGGGCUCCUAGGGUUAUUUACAACUGGAUAACGUUAUAUUAUAGGAUACGCUUGUUUGCUCCGUGGAAUGACGACAUUUGCUUCAUUCGGCUGCCUCAAACACGGGCGUCGGUGAUGCUGUCGAGCGCUGGCCAAAUGCCCCGCUCGUCCAAAUUGGGACAGAGCACCCAAACUUCAUUAUAAACCAUGACAAGCUGCGAGUAUCAACAAAUCGAUCCCCAGGCACUUCCGACGCCGACCCCGGCCCCUCCACCUCAUCAUGGAAACGACCGUGACAAGAGAGAGGAGCCGAAAAGACCGAGGAGAAAGUGGCAAGUUUUCCCCGGAAAGAACCGUUUCUACUGCGAUGGACGGAUCAUGGUGGCCCGGCAGAGUGGGGUCUUGCCCCUCACUCUGGGCCUUAUUGUCAUCACAAGUGGAUUAUUCUUUAUAUUUGACUGUCCCUUCCUGGUCAAACACCUGACCAGCUGCAUACCUGUUAUCGGAGGAGGCCUCUUUGUAUUUGUGGUCAUCACCUUGCUCCAGACCAGCCUCACUGACCCCGGCAUCCUGCCCCGAGCAACGCCAGAUGAGGCUGCAGACAUUGAGAAACAGAUCGACAACACUGGAAAUGCCAGCUAUCGGCCGCCGCCGCGCACCAAGGAAGUCCUCAUCAACCAGCAGGUGGUGAAGCUCAAGUACUGCUUCUCCUGCAAGAUGUUCCGGCCUCCGCGCACCUCCCACUGCAGCCUGUGUGACAACUGUGUGGAGCGAUUCGACCAUCACUGCCCCUGGGUGGGGAACUGUGUGGGAAAACGCAACUACCGUUUCUUCUACACCUUCAUCGUGUCGCUCUCCUUCCUGACGGCGUUCAUCUUCGGCUGUGUGACCACACAUCUAGCACUGAGGGCUCAAGGUGGAAAAGGCCUGGUGUUUGCUCUGCAAGAGAGUCCAGGCAGUGCAGUGGAGCUGGUGAUAUGUUUCUUCUCAGUCUGGUCCAUCUUGGGCCUCUCAGGCUUCCAUACAUACCUGGUUGCUUCCAACCUCACCACUAAUGAAGAUAUUAAAGGCUCCUGGUCAGGGAAGAGUGGAGAAGGUGUCACCAACCCAUACAGUCAUAAAAACAUCUUCAUCAACUGUUGCUCUGUGCUCUGUGCACCCAUGCCACCCAGCUUGAUCGACAGACGGGGUUUCCUGCCCACAGAUGAAUCUGUCCAGACAGCCGGCGCGGGCAUCGGGCUGGCCGCUAAAAGCGAGAUAAACGUGGUAGGAGGGUCUUCCCAGCCGGCUUCUGGCUUGCAGGAAUCCCCUUCCCCUGUGCCUGUACCCCCUCACUCCCACCAAAACUCUUCCUCUGUCUGACCGAAGCCUUGUUGCUGGCUGUAGCUCCAACCCAGCAUCUGUCUGCUGCCUGCUGCCGACUGGGUUAAUCCCUACAUGUACUGUAUUUACACUGCAGUCAGAGCUUCAGCAUUUAUUACUUUUCCCUCAGUGCAAACUAGAUUUAAAAGCACUUUUCAAAAUAGGUUGAAAACGUGGCGUACACUAUCAUCAUUUUAAAUUAGUUUGAAUCAAAUAGAAAAGCAGGUUAAAGGAAUACGUGAAACUUUUUGUGAAAUUGGCUUUUGUUACUCUCUCCAGAGAGUAAGAUCAGUUUCAAUCUCACGUCUGUGCGUUAAAGCUAGCCUAUGAACUUUUGCUGAACAGCGGCCACCGGGCCCACCAGCGGUACUUUUCCGUAAUGGUAAAUGCUAAAACGGUGCAGCAGUAGCACAAAUGGGGACCAGUGAAACUGGCUCAGUAAUGUCAGUUAUGCAGCAAUAGCCCUUUUAGGCUUGCUAACAGUAGCCACCGCAAGCUACUGGUCUUUCCAGACUAAGUCAGGCUGUAGUGUGUUUUUAUUUCCAACAAUUUCAACUUGUUAUUUGUGAGAGGGAGCUAUGAUUUCUUUUUUGAGUACAGAGUUGGAGUCAGGACUGUGUUUAGCAUAGGCUAGCAUAUCUCUGGCCAAAGUGAAUCAGUUAACCCACAGCAGCCCUGAAGCUCACAGAUGAACACAUUUUGUCUUGUUUGUGAUUUUAUGGUGAGUUAUUGAGCUGGAACUUUUCCUUUAGAGGUGUAUCCAGGCCUGGUUUCCCAUUUGGACGGGCCCAGGCUAGCUAGUCUCUCCCCCUGUGUUCAAGUCGUUGUGCUAAGGUAAGCUAACCGGCUGCUGGCAGUAGCUUCAUAUUUAUAGUGCGUUCCAUUUACCUCAGAACUGAUGAAUAAUGUGUAUUUAUUAUUGCAUUGCCACAUUUUCAAGUGAGUUGUAAGGACCUCACAAAAGUCGAAAGCCGAAGCUGGGAACGACGUCACACCCGAGUUGAAUGCGCUCCAUCUACAAGUCAGAUUUUCAUUCUUUUCGUUAGCUCUAGCCAGGUUAGCCAUCGUUAGCAAUGUCAGUUUAUAACUACGCAUAACAACAUGUCCACAGAUAGAAUAUGGACAGUACUGCGUGUACGACUGAUUUAGUGAGACACUAAUGACCCAGAAGUGCUUAUAACUGUAUGUUACUACAGCUUUCACAACUGCUGAUGCACGGGGCAGCCAUGUUGGAUUUUUAGCUCAGGGUACUCGGUGGUUGGCUGAGUUCCAAGAAAUCCGAGGUCGGGGGGGGGGGGGGGGUGUUUCCGACUUUGACUUUGGAAAAUCCGACUCCCAAGUACAAAUGGAACGCACUAUUAGAGUACAGACAUGAGAGGGGUACCAAUCCUUUCAUCUCACAGUAUUUCUGUAGUCUGAGGUUAGACACCUGCUUUGUGCAGUUCCUGCUUCCUAACAGCUGAGUCAUGUUUACCUCGUGGAAAUGAACAAAUCAGGUUUACGGACAUUUUUCUUUUGAAAUAUAAGCAGCAGGGAUGCUAUUAACUAUAUAUUUUAUGCUAUCUAAUGUUUUUUUUUUUUUUUAAAUGACAAUCUCCACCUCAGUAUACCUCAGCUCAUGUGCACUGUGUCGACUCAGGGUGUUCUAUGAGGAAGGAGGAGAGCAGGAGUUGUAAGAAGUGAAUGAAGUGAACUGUUUUCAGCUCGUCGUCCUCCCUGGUUUUCUCCGACUGCACGCGAUAUAAAGGGAUGCCUGGAGAGUUUUUGUUUACAAGACGUGAACUGCGGUUCAGAUUAGAGUUGCGGUCAGAGCCACGGUACUCAGAUAUCAAGUGGGAGAGUAGCUGCUGUUUGGCACUGCUUUUUGGUUUACACCGAAAUAACAAACACAGCCAUAACAUUUUUUUGUGUGUGUUUGUGUGUGUACGGAUACUCAAAGCCAGUUAAAGCUGUAGUGUUUCUAGCCUGAAAUGUAUUUUGUUGUUGGGUUUGGCGAAAAAAAUAAGUCUUUUUGAAUUCAGUUGAUGCACUGUUGAAGCUGUGAGGAAAGUUCCUUGUUUUUAUUCUGUGUUGGUUCCCUUUUCCUCCUGUCUCAUGUGAACAGUCGUAUUUGUCUGCAUAUAAAGUGCCAAAUGAUUUGUGACAUAUCAAAUCAAUCAACAUAGUUUCCCUUCAUGCCUUUUAUUACAUGUUUUUUUUUGAUUUGUCCAUCCUGUUUUUUUUUUUGUAUACAUAUUUCUAUUUUGUCAGUAUCUGAAAUGUAAAAUAAUAAUAAAAACAUGCAUUUUUGUCCAUGCAAUUCAU